rnacentral:rRNA from 1 species
CCUGAGAAACCCAAAAGAUCGAAUGGGGAGAUUCAUCGUCAGCUCAUUUUGUAUAUGUACAAGUUACGAUGCGGGUUACUACUUGUAGUAUUGCCUGCACGUUCUUAUAUAUUUAGUUGCAAGAUGUUGUCGGCGUGCACUUCUCCCCUAGUAGGACGUCGCGACCCGUUGGGUGUCGGUCUACGGCCCAAGUGUAUAGCCUUUAAUGUAAUUUAAAAAACAUUAAAGAUCCUUGGUGUUUUCUGACCGGCUACUUGGCGGUACUCGUACGGUAUUUAGCCGCAUAUUUAUAUGCGUCCAUGCCCGUCGCAAGCGAGGCUAAUUACUGAUAGUACGGACCUAGUGCCGUCGUUGGUAUUGGCCAGCUGUUGGUUGUACGGUGUUCUAGGACUGGCUAAAAUUAAUUACCGGUCGGCGAUGCUACUGCUUUGGGUACUUUCAG